rnacentral:lncRNA from 1 species
UUUGUUUGUCUUCUGGCGUGAGCUACGAGACAAUGUGAUUACACCUCGAGACACAACAAUGACCUUCACAUGCUUUGUGUUUUUUGACAUGUUCAAUGCACUAAGUUCCAGAUCCCAGACCAAGUCUGUGUUUGAGAUUGGACUCUGCAGUAAUAGAAUGUUUUGCUAUGCAGUUCUUGGAUCCAUCAUGGGACAAUUACUAGUUAUUUACUUUCCUCCGCUUCAGAAGGUUUUUCAGACUGAGAGCCUAAGCAUACUGGAUCUGUUGUUUCUUUUGGGUCUCACCUCAUCAGUGUGCAUAGUGGCAGAAAUUAUAAAGAAGGUUGAAAGGAGCAGGGAAAAGAUCCAGAAGCAUGUUAGUUCGACAUCAUCAUCUUUUCUUGAAGUCUGGCUCUGGGAGAGGAGUGGACAGCAGCUGGUUGAGAUACAUCCCCAUCUGGAGACAGGACUGCCACUGACAGAAGAUGUGAGCUGUGUCUAAGUCCAGUCUUGUGCCCAGCCGUGUCUGCGCCUUCACUCUUUGGAACUCUGCAUACAACAUCUUAGCACCAUCUUCCUGCAGCUCUUCCUUACCUAAAUAAAGAAACAGCCCAAGGGCAGUAUUUCUAAAAGCACUGUAACAGCUUUUCAUUUUCUCCACAUAUACUACAAAUUCUAUAAAGAAAGAAAUUAAUUUAAAAAAACUAAGAUGUUUUUCUCUUCUGGCUUCAUAAAUGCCUUGCUGUAUAAAUUGAAAUAUUGAUACUGAACUGUCUUUUUAAUGAUGACCUAACUUUAUUCAACCCAUCGGAAUUUACUUUUUCCCUGAAAUAAGAUCUUUUCCACUGGUCUACUACCUGACCAUAAACAUGUCUGCAUUUGAAUUCUCUAAACCCUAAAUCUGUGUCUAUGAAAAAUACAAAUGACUAUUAAAUAUU